rnacentral:rRNA from 1 species
ACAGAUGGUUUAUCNUACCACCAUCCUGCCAGAAGAAUUACAAGUGAAAAACUUAAAACUCUAAGGACUUGACGGUGCCCCACACCAGCCUAGAGGAGCCUGUCCUAUAAUCGAUACCCCACGCUCCACCUCACCCCCCCUUGCCAAACCCCGCCUAUAUACCGCCGUCGUCAGCCCACCUACUGAUAGCAACAAAAGUCAGCAUAAUAGCACCCCGCUAGCACGUCAGGUCAAGGUGUAGCUAAUGGGGGGGACUAAGAUGGGCUACAUUUGCUAGCCUCUAGCAAACCCACUGAGAGCCCCAUGAAACAAAGGGCCAGAAGGCGGAUUUAGCAGUAAACACCGGCAAGACCUGCCCACUUGAACACCGCUCUGGGGCGCGUACACACCG